GACGAACGCUGGCGGCGUGCUUAACACAUGCAAGUCGAACGGAAAGGCCCUUCGGGGUACUCGAGUGGCGAACGGGUGAGUAACACGUGGGUGAUCUGCCCUGCACUUUGGGAUAAGCCUGGGAAACUGGGUCUAAUACCGAAUAGGACCACGCGCUUCAUGGUGUGUGGUGGCAAGCUUUUGCGGUGUGGGAUGGGCCCGCGGCCUAUCAGCUUGUUGGUGGGGUAAUGGCCUACCAAGGCGACGACGGGUAGCCGGCCUGAGAGGGUGACCGGCCACACUGGGACUGAGAUACGGACCAGACUCCUACGGGAGGCAGCAGUGGGGAAUAUUGCACAAUGGGCGCAAGCCUGAUGCAGCGACGCCGCGGGAGGGAUGACGGCCUUCGGGUUGUAAACCUCUUUCAAUAGGGACGAAGCGCAAGUGACGGUACCUAUAGAAGAAGCACCGGCCAACUACGUG
rnacentral:rRNA from 1 species